GGAUAGCUAGAGUAUNUCAGAGGGGGGGUAGAAUUCCACGUGUAGCAGCGAAAUGCGUAGAGAUGUGGAGGAAUACCGAUGGCGAAGGCAGCCCCCUGGGAUAAUACUGACGUUCAUGCUCGAAAGCGUGGGUAGCAAACAGGAUUAGAUACCCUGGUAGUCCACGCCCUAAACGAUGUCGAUUAGCUGUUGGGCAACUUGAUUGCUUAGUAGCGUAGCUAACGCGUGAAAUCGACCGCCUGGGGAGUACGGUCGCAAGAUUAAAACUCAAAGGAAUUGACGGGGACCCGCACAAGCGGUGGAUGAUGUGGAUUAAUUCGAUGCAACGCGAAGAACCUUACCUGGUCUUGACAUGUACGGAAGAACUCAGAGACGAGUUUGUGCCUUCGGGAGCCGUAACACAGGUGCUGCAUGGCUGUCGUCAGCUCGUGUCGCGAGAUGUUGGGUUAAGUCCCGCAACGAGCGCAACCCUUGUCAUUAGUUGCCAUCAUUUAGUUGGGCACUCUAAUGAGACUGCCGGUGACAAGCCGGAGGAAGAUGGGGAUGACGUCAAGUCCUCAUGGCCCUUAUGACCAGGGCUUCACACGUCAUACAAUGGUCGGUACAGAGGGUAGCCAAGCCGCGAGGUGGAGCCAAUCCCAGAAAACCGAUCGUAGUCCGGAUUGCACUCUGCAACUCGAGUGCAUGAAGUCGGAAUCGCUAGUAAUCGCAGGUCAGCAUACUGCGGUGAAUACGUUCCCGGGUCUUGUACACACCGCCCGUCACACCAUGGGAGUGGGGGAUACCAGAAGUAGGUAGGGUAACCGCAAGGAGCCCG
rnacentral:rRNA from 1 species